ACGGCCUUCGGGUUGUAAACCUCUUUUAGUAGGGAAGAAGGGAGCUUGCUCUUGACGGUACCUGCAGAAAAAGCACCGGCUAACUACGUGCCAGCAGCCGCGGUAAUACGUAGGGUGCAAGCGUUAUCCGGAAUUAUUGGGCGUAAAGAGCUCGUAGGCGGUUUGUCGCGUCUGCUGUGAAAACUGGGGGCUCAACCCCCAGCCUGCAGUGGGUACGGGCAGACUAGAGUGCGGUAGGGGAGAUUGGAAUUCCUGGUGUAGCGGUGGAAUGCGCAGAUAUCAGGAGGAACACCAAUGGCGAAGGCAGAUCUCUGGGCCGUAACUGACGCUGAGGAGCGAAAGCAUGGGGAGCGAACAGGAUUAGAUACCCUGGUAGUCCAUGCCGUAAACGUUGGGAACUAGAUGUAGGGUCCAUUCCACGGAUUCUGUGUCGCAGCUAACGCAUUAAGUUCCCCGCCUGGGGAGUACGGCCGCAAGGCUAAAACUCAAAGGAAUUGACGGAAUCACUA
rnacentral:rRNA from 1 species